GGCCCAAAUUUGAAAUAGAGUGGAUUAGGAGGGUCAUCCGACCCUACUAAACUACACUACUUCGAGUUUGUGAUC
rnacentral:pre_miRNA from 1 species